UUGUGAAGUGCAGGAUAACAUGGCUUUUACUGUAUCUCUAGAUAAUUGUAUUAAGUUUUGCUUUCUAGAUGGAUCUAGGGAUGUAUAUCUAGAGAGAGCGAGAAAGUGAGUCUAUCUAGACACGUCUAGACGUAUGUUUGCCUUCUAGAUUGAUGGACCUAUCUAUCUAAACGCAUCCAGACCUAUUAUUUUGCCUUCCUCAGUGAAGAAGAGUACAAAGGGAGCCAACAAUGGGAUAUAUAGCUGUGUCUAGGUCAAUCAAGAUGCGCCUAGACACAAAUCAAGACCCACGCGCCUAAACAGGUCAAAUCAGUUCCAAAUCAUAUUGAUGGAGCAGGCAGAAGUCAUUCGUUCUAAGUACCAUGUAUGGCACUACAACUGGCACACAUCUUCUGUCCCAGGCUCUCACCCCAGGGAAUUCAGAUGCUGACAAAUCCAUUGGCAGGCAGCCUAUGUAGAGGCCCAAACCUGGAGGUCUUGGGAUUCAGCUGGCACCAUUUGAUCUUAGCCUGACUUCUGGAUUUUUAUUUUUUUUUAAUUUUUCAUGUUCCAAAUCAGCCAAAUCAAUUCCAAAUCCGUGAGUCAUUCAAGAACCGUAUUUAGCCCUACUAUCAGCAAACAUUCUCCAGCCCUGCCUGGGGCUUCAGGUGCUUCCAAAUCAUUUGGCAGGCAUCCUACAUGCAGACCCAAGCCCAGAGACUUGGGGUUUGGAUGCCCCGAGUUUCGCUUUUCUUCAGCCAUGCAACUGCAGGAGUAACUUAGGGAGAAGUCUCCCAUCUCCAUGAAGUGGGCGUAAAGCCAAGACCUUCCCCCUGGAAAUGGCAGUGGGAGGUUAACUAUGCAAUACCUCUGCCCAGGUACAACCCCUUGCCAGAAAAGCAGUUAUCCCCAGUAACUAGGAAAACUGCCUUAAUGAUCAUACUGUUUCCCCUGCCAUUUGCAGUCAGCACUUUCUUAUGACUGCUUACCUGGAAAUAAAGAAAGGCUUCAACUUUGA